rnacentral:rRNA from 1 species
AUUGAACGCUGGCGGCAGGCUUAGCACACGCAAGUCGAGCGGGGGAAGGUAGCUUGCUACCGGACCUAGCGGCGGACGGGUGAGUAAUGCUUAGGAAUCUGCCUAUUAGUGGGGGACAACAUCUCGAAAGGGAUGCUAAUACCGCAUACGUCCUACGGGAGAAAGCAGGGGAUCUUCGGACCUUGCGCUAAUAGGUGAGCCUAAGUCGGAUUAGCUAGUUGGUGGGGUAAAGGCCUACCAAGGCGACGAUCUGUAGCGGGUUUGAGAGGAUGAUCCGCCACACUGGGACUGAGACACGGCCCAGACUCCUACGGGAGGCAGCAGUGGGGAGUAUUGGACAAUGGGGGGAACCCUGAUCUAGCCAUGCCGCGUGUGUGAAGAAGGCCUUAUGGUUGUAAAGCACUUUAAGCGAGGAGGAGGCUACUUUAGUUAAUACCUAGAGAUAGUGGACGUUACUCGCAGAAUAAGCACCGGCUAACUCUGUGCCAGCAGCCGCCGUAA